rnacentral:lncRNA from 1 species
CGAUGUAGGCCUUGUGUAGGUUAAGUGUACACAAAACUAGACAUUCGGAACUUUAAUUUUCCCAUUUAUAUUUAAAAAAGAAACGAUUUUUAUAUGAAAUUGAUACUUAUAACACUUAUUAAUAAAGUUCUUUACAGAAAUAUUUGUCUAAAAUUGAUAUAUUUAUUGGUUAUAAAAACACUUUACGUAGCCUUAUUCACCCCUUAUCAAGACUCAUCCAUCAUCAUUGCCGAACACAUAAUUCAUUUGAAAAGGUCUUCCCGAAUCGACUGGAAGUACAUAUUGACAGAAAUAUUUGCCACUGGUCUUUACUCAAACAACGAUUCACUCAUAAAUGCAUUACUGAAAAAGGGUGAGGUUAAUUGUUUGUUUGUGUAGUAUCUCAGAUCCGUUAAAAUACAGUUAGAAAUUAAAAAAAAAAACAUCAUCCCUCCCUUUGCCAAAUACACCUUGGAGAAAAAAUACCAUUUGAAAC